rnacentral:rRNA from 1 species
GAUGAACGCUGGCGGCGUGCUUAACACAUGCAAGUCGAACGGUGAAGGCGGAGCUUGCUCUGCUGGAUCAGUGGCGAACGGGUGAGUAACACGUGAGCAAUCUGCCCCUGACUCUGGGAUAAGCGCUGGAAACGGCGUCUAAUACUGGAUACGAGCUGCGAAGGCAUCUUCAGCAGCUGGAAAGAAUUUCGGUCAGGGAUGAGCUCGCGGCCUAUCAGCUUGUUGGUGAGGUAAUGGCUCACCAAGGCGUCGACGGGUAGCCGGCCUGAGAGGGUGAUCGGCCACACUGGGACUGAGACACGGCCCAGACUCCUACGGGAGGCAGCAGUGGGGAAUAUUGCACAAUGGGCGAAAGCCUGAUGCAGCAACGCCGCGUGAGGGACGACGGCCUUCGGGUUGUAAACCUCUUUUAGCAGGGAAGAAGCGAAAGUGACGGUACCUGCAGAAAAAGCGCCGGCUAACUACGUG